AUCUUCCGCAAUGGGGGCAACCCUGACGGAGCAACGCCGCGUGCGGGACGACGCCUUUCGGGGUGUAAACCGCUUUUCUUCGGGAAGAAUGUCGCGCAAGCGGCUUGACGGUACCGGGGGAAGAAGGACCGGCUAACUACGUGCCAGCAGCCGCGGUAAUACGUAGGGUCCGAGCGUUGUCCGGAGUUACUGGGCGUAAAGCGCGCGCAGGCGGCGGCGUGGGCUCGGCGUGAAAGCCCCCGGCUCAACCGGGGAAGGUCGUCGAGGACCGCGCCGCUUGAGGGCGGUAGGGGCUGGUGGAAUGCCUGGUGUAGUGGUGAAAUGCGUAGAGAUCAGGCGGAACACCCGUGGCGAAGGCGGCCAGCUGGGCCGUCCCUGACGCUGAGGCGCGAAGGCGUGGGGAGCGAACGGG
rnacentral:rRNA from 1 species